AGUUGGAGAAUAAGUGCAAGUGAAGCUCUCAAGCACCCUUGGUUGUCAGACCACAAGCUCCACUCCAGACUCAACGCACAGAAGAAGAAGAAAUGCUACUCUGAUGCUCAGAACCCUGUGACCAAACAGUGUACAGAAGGCGCCCAUUGAAAGGAAAACUGCUGGGGUUGCUGCUGCUUGAGAAGAUGUUUGGAAAAAUCAGCAGUUCUGAUGUCUUGACCCCUAUGAUGAAUGGUGGCCUUGGGGAGGUGGGGGCCGCUGCAUUUGAACUCAGAGCACCCAGUCCCAGGGGACACUCCCAGUGCUUUGGUCCUGGGGGCACAGGCAAGACUCCCACCCCUUCCUCCCCUCCCUGCUCCUCAUGGUCCUGGGGGCACAGGCAAGCCUCCACCCCUUCUCCUCCUCCCCGCACUCCAUGGUCCUGGGGGCACAGGCAAUUCCCCUCUCUUUCCCCAUUUCCCCACAACCCAUGGUAGUCCACACUCGGCAAGAUGUUUCCCUGCCAUCUUGAGAUUUUUUUUACUUUAUUUUUAUUUCUUGAUUUUAGUCACUGGAGCAAGGGGUGCAUUAUUUCUGCUAUUUCUCAGUUUACUAGCACAGUCAUACUGGAGAUUUAUUUUGAAACCUAGAGGAUGCAUUUGGAGGGAGAAAACUGCUUCCAGUUAUUAAACUAUGCCUUUCAAAGGGGUGAUUGUAUCGCCAGAAAAAAUUCUAAGUCUGUGUGCCCUUGAACACUUAGUUUCUCACACGUUAUUAUUUUGAUUUGGUCUUGAAUCAGGUGAAUCUUGAGAAAUAAUUUGCUUUCUGGAACAUAAGCUUUCUUUGAAUUCUGAGGCAAGAGGCAGCAGGCCUUCUAUCUUCCAUUUGCUGUGCUUUCCCCCAAGUGCAUCAGUUUCUCCCAAGUAGCAGAUUCUCCUUCUAAUGAAUGACAUGCAUCUUCACAAGGCCCUCCCUGCUCUUUGCGGAUUGAACAUUCAUGUGUGAAAUAUGUCGGUUUUGAGGGGCAGUGCGAAAGGUAUCUGUUUAUUCUCAGUCUUUAAAAUCAAAACCUUUGGAAUACUGUUAGCCGUCCUGAGAGCUUUCCUGCUGUACUUGUCUGUGAGGAGAGAUGAUCUUGUGCAUCUUGACAAAGGACAGUGCUGUGCUUGCAAUGACGUGACUUGGGAAAUGUCACUCAAGUAAACGUGAAUGUUUCUGAAGACCCAUGCUACUACCUACGCAGUCUCGUGGAGCUCAGGGCUGUGAAGAAAGCUCAUUCAGAAAUCAAAGGUGGGGAGGGGACACCUCUGCUCCCUUUUUGGACAUGAGAAUCAUUUCCAGUUGGAAGCUUCUGCUUGUCCCUGAGCUGCUGUACCAUUUCAUUCAGAUACUAAAGAGGGAAAUGAACCCUACUGAGAUGGCACCGGACCUGUAAAGAGUGGCUUCUUUAUGAAGAGACAACGCAAAGCCACGCCUAACUCGUGUUACACGUACAACACCAAGCUCACCAUUCAGCUGUUUAAGCUUUCCUCAAUUUUUCAUUUCCAAAUAACUGCUCUGUUGAGAUCACCUGGAAUAAUGUCUUUAUUUUUAGCUGUAACUUGUUCUAGUCUCUUGUCACAAAAGCAAUGAAUUGAAGUAAGAAUAGCUUGGUGGUUGUAUUAGUGAGGGCACACUUAUCUUGCACUGAUUAGCUUUUCACCAUUAUUUCUCAUAUCCACCUAGCGAACUCUUUUAGGAUGCCCAUGAAUAGCUCCUACCUGUAUGCCCUUAUGUGUAAGAUAUAGAGAAAGUAGAGACAGAAGAGAUAUUUAAUUUAGUUAAGGCCACAUGCCAAUUUUGUGGUCAUACUAGCUAUAAAACUGACUCCUUUCUAGCCUCUGCUCUUACAUUAUGAUGCAUUUUUUUUCCUUUGGCCUGUGCAUUUAUCCAAGGCUGGUUUCUCUUGUUCCUGCUAUGUGACUAUGCUUAAAAUAUUUAACUUAGUUUCCUUAAAAAAAAAAAGUCCUGUGACUGAAGUGUUAUAUUACUGUGCUAUCUUUAGCUGAUGGUAUUCAUCGAGCCUGGAAAAAUACAAGCCUGUGCAUGCAUUAAUACUCAGACCACAGAGAGCUGGCAUUCACUCAAAUGCUAAAUAAGAUACAAUGGUCUGAUUUGAAAGCCCUCACGGAAGACUUUUUCUGUCCUGUGGUGUGUGUUCUCUACUGGAGAGAGCAGAGACCUUUUGCGUGAUGUGCAGUUUGCAACCAGUUCUUGUUCUGACUCACGUUGGCAGAUAAGCUUUCCCCAGUCCCCACUAUACAUAGAAGAGACAGGUUAGGCCAAAUAAAGGAAUUAUUUCUUCGCCAAAUUAGUCCACUGAUGACCCUGUAGUUAGUGGGUGUGAUUUUUUUCAAAAGAGGUUUAGAAAGGAGACUGUGCUUUGAAACUGGAUCUCCUUUGAAUCUGUAGUUAAAUUUCCACAUUUGGAUGGGGAGGCAUCCUCUAGCCAGCGGGGUACCUUUUUAUAUGAGAGCUGAGGAUAGCUUGCAUUGCAGAGUUGAUUAAUUACAGUCUAGAGUUACAUGAGAGGGGAGAAUUUCAGUUUCUUGCUCAUCCUGUCACCUCCCUCCACAGCCAUGUGAGGCUGCUCCAGUAAGAGCCCUAACUUGGUCAAUUGCCCCUCUGGUGGGAAAGGGGGCUUUGCACAGCAGAGGGGUCAACCAGCACGGACCCGAGAAGCUCAGUCUGGCUAGACUGGGGCUAUUGUGAUUGAAUUUUCCAAGAAGUCAUUAGGAUUUGAAAGCCUGUAUUUCUCUUGCACCCUCUUAAUGAACAUUAUAUGGCUUCGCUCACGUGCCUUAGGCAGUUGCCAUUCCUUUAGUAAACGGAGGAAAUGAAGCAGUGAUGUGGCGCUUCCCACUGCCUGGAGAGAAAUAAACCUCGUAAACAGGAAAAAGCAUACCCACAUUUGUAAUUUAUAAGACACCAACACUUACCCAGAAUCUGUUGCUAUUUCAAAAUCAGGGAGAAAGGGCUUAGGCCCGUCUGUAGCCCAGAAACCUCGGAAACAGAUUCUCACCUGAACUAUCUUGGAGAAAAGAUUUCUAUGUUGAAAUUGGGGAAUUCUCAUGGCUGUUGAAUACCAUAGGUUUGUUUUUAGUUGCUUUUUGUCUGACUUGAUACUAUUUUGCUUUCUUUCCUCAAAAAUGUAAAUAGGCAUGCUGCCAUUGUUGUGAAAUACUUUGAUGUGAAUGUGUUUUGAAAGAUGAAUACUUAUAUUUUCACAGAAAUUAAUAUAGCAAAAUUUUUCUUGUUUUAGAAUCAAAAUAUGGAUUUGAUAUUAGGGAAAUGAGAGUCUUGCCUAUGUUUCAUUUCUUUUCUAUCCCUCUUGCCCCUCUACCCCACGGCGGUCACUAGGCAAGAGCCGGUAUGCAUACAUGUUCUUGUUCAGUUGGACUAUAGGUUAGUUGAGGGAGCCUCACUUGGAAAAUUCAUUUGUGAAAGUGUAAUGAAAGGGAGAUGCAGGGCAGCUCCUUGGCUGUGGUCGGUAGGCUCAGUUCGGCUCUGCUCCCUGGCAAUUCCUUCAUGGGGAUAGGGUGCAUCACCACUGUGCCUCAGUUCUCACCAGCCACAAUACUCGCGACUUUACUUUAGCUCUGUUUUAUUUUAUUUUUACUUCUUUUUAUUUUUCUUAAGUGAAAGUCAAAGUCCAUUUUCUCAUCCAUCAUGAUGCUACCUUGAAAGCCUUUUUGGGAUGAAAAUUAUACUUCCCAAAGGCAAAUUGCUUUCUGUCCUAAAGGAAACUUGAUGCUGGACUUACUAGAUGUUCAAUUCCUAUAUUAAGAUUACUUCCUUGCUUAAGAUGAGUCUACAGUUUCUUAUACUGGAAGUGCUAUGUAUUUCUACAAGCUCCAUUUUAGUUGGGUGUAUUUUCCAUAAGCGGUCUUUGUCUGAGCAGUUUCACCUUCCAUGAAGGCUUAUAACUCAACUACUACUUAUUCAAAAGAGCAGAAACCAUCUGAAACAUUGAUUUAUAUGUAUUUUGUAGUUGUCUCAGCUGAUAGAUGUCAGUGAGUCCUUUUGAUGAGGUGUAUCUGUGUAGAUAAUAAAUAAAAAUGCAUUCAUAAUAUGGUGAUUGCAUAUAUCAUAUAUAUUUUUUAUUUCUGGACAUCAUUUCAUUCAGCUGCAUUUCUUUGCCUUAUAAAGAUGUCUAACAGUCAUAUAUAUGUCUUAUAUUGAAAAAUAAA